AGGAGCUCCAGGACCAGAUCCAUCCCCGGGCAGUCAGGGACAAAAAGCCUCGCAGAAUACUAUGCUCUGGUUUAAAUACAGAGAAGUUCAGGGGGUGGGUACAAACUUUUAACCAAUCAGGGAUCAACAUGGGAGGAGCAGGAGGCGGGGUUUACAAUACAGGGACCAAUAAGGAUAAGGGGAGGAGAAAACAGGUCACAUGGGCCAAUUGGGGCAUGGAGGGUUAAAGGAGUGACAGAGAGGUGGGGCAAUCAGGGAUUGGCCCAACUGUGGAUUGACAGGGAAGGGUCUGGAAGAAGGGGCUGGGUUGCAGUGACAGGCAGGGAAGGUUCUGGAAUAAGGGGUUGGGCCACAGGCAGCAUAGCGAUGAGCAGGAUCUCUGGGGAUCAGAACGUUUCCUGCUCUUGCCCUGAGGAAUGGGUGGUGUGUCCCUGAAAUCCGCUUUCCUCCAUUUUCUGGGGAUCAAGAAAAGAUUUUAAUUCCUGCCCUCCAACAAGCCCAAGCUACAAGUCACUCUGAGCCUUCUUUAUUGUUCUCACUCUUAUGAGGAAGGCAUUAAUAUCAGACAGGAGCAUGGGAAUGCUGUUCUCCUUUGGAUGUUUAUUGGAAUGCAUCCUCCUGCUGACCUGGAGCCGCCAGGAGUGGCUGGGAGCUCUUCCAUUUUCAGCUGCAUGGGUCAGUGUUUUGAACUCCGUUUGAAGGGAACUCGUGUUUGGAGCAGCAUUUUCCCUCCAUCCAUGGCACUGCCAAGGCUGAGAUAUCUCAGGAGAUCUGAUCUGGAAAUUCCUCACCCUUGGAUUUCCACUCGAUUUUCUUUUCAUUUCCUGCCCAACACUUAAUUGUAAAUGCGUUUAAAUCCAUGCAUCAGGUUCACUCCGUGUGUCUGCGUUUCCCUGCCUAGCCCAGCACAUCCAUCCCCAUCCUUCCUUGCCUUUCAGGGAAAAAUAAAUCAGUUUUCCAGGUAAGAAACACAGGAGACAAUAUGAUAUUGUAUCUAUGAGACAGCACUCAGCCCUUGCAGGAAUUCAUUAAGCCUCAUGUAUUUCACAUAACACACCCAAAUAAAUACCUGAAAUCAUCAUCAAAUUCAAUCUGUCCUAAACUUUGUCCAUGUGUUAUUCCCCCUCCAGGUAAAAGCUCAUCCCUUGCGUUCUACUCUGAGUUGGUUUAGCUCCAGCUCAGGUUUGCAAAUGAAAA